UUUUAAAACUGUUAGUCUUGAGAUCGAGAGAGGUGAGUGGAUUCCAAGUGUAGAGGUGAAAUUCGUAGAUAUUUGGAGGAACACCAGUGGCGAAGGCGGCUCACUGGCUCGAUACUGACGCUGAGGUACGAAAGUGUGGGGAGCAAACAGGAUUAGAUACCCUGGUAGUCCACACCGUAAACGAUGAAUGCCAGACGCCAGCAAGCAUGCUUGUUGGUGUCACACCUAACGGAUUAAGCAUUCCGCCUGGGGAGUACGGUCGCAAGAUUAAAACUCAAAGGAAUUGACGGGGGCCCGCACAAGCGGUGGAGCAUGUGGUUUAAUUCGACGCAACGCGCAGAACCUUACCAACCCUUGACAUACUUGUCGCGGAUUCCAGAGAUGGAUUCCUUCAGUUCGGCUGGACAAUGUACAGGUGCUGCAUGGCUGUCGUCAGCUCGUGUCGUGAGAUGUUCGGUUAAGUCCGGCAACGAGCGCAACCCACGUCCUUAGUUACCAGCAUUUAGUUGGGUACCCUAAGGAGACUGCCGGUGAUAAGCCGGAGGAAGGUGUGGACGACGUCAAGUCAUCAUGGCUUACGGGUUGGGCUACACACGUGCUACAAUGGCAUCUACAGUGAGUUAAUCUCCAAAAGAUGUCUCAGUUCGGAUUGGGGUCUGCAACUCGACCCCAUGAAGUUGGAAUCGCUAGUAAUCGCGGAACAGCAUGCCGCGGUGAAUACGUUCCCGGGCCUUGUACACACCGCCCGUCACACCAUGGGAAUUGGGUCUACCCGAAGGUGGUGCGCCAACUAUUUAUAGAGGCAGCCAACCACGGUAGGUUCAGUGACUGGGGUGUAGUCGUAACAAGGUUCCCGU
rnacentral:rRNA from 1 species